UUAAGCGACUAAGCGUACACGGUGGAUGCCCUGGCAGUCAGAGGCGAUGAAGGACGUGCUAAUCUGCGAAAAGCGUCGGUAAGGUGAUAUGAACCGUUACAGCCGGCGAUGUCCGAAUGGGGAAACCCAGUGCAAUUCGUUGCACUAUCGUUAACUGAAUACAUAGGUUAACGAGGCGAACCGGGGGAACUGAAACAUCUAAGUACCCCGAGGAAAAGAAAUCAACCGAGAUUCCCCCAGUAGCGGCGAGCGAACGGGGAGCAGCCCAGAGUCUGAAUCAGCUUGUGUGUUAGUGGAACGGUCUGGAAAGUCCGACGGUACAGGGUGAUAGUCCCGUACACCAAAAUGCACAGGCUGUGAACUCGAAGAGUAGGGCGGGACACGUGGUAUCCUGUCUGAAUAUGGGGGGACCAUCCUCCAAGGCUAAAUACUCCUGACUGACCGAUAGUGAACCAGUACCGUGAGGGAAAGGCGAAAAGAACCCCGGCGAGGGGAGUGAAAAAGAACCUGAAACCGUGUACGUACAAGCAGUGGGAGCACCUUCGGGUGUGACUGCGUACCUUUUGUAUAAUGGGUCAGCGACUUAUAUUCUGUAGCAAGGUUAACCGUAUAGGGGAGCCGCAGGGAAACCGAGUCUUAACUGGGCGUUAAGUUGCAGGGUAUAGACCCGAAACCCGGUGAUCUAGCCAUGGGCAGGUUGAAGGUUGGGUAACACUAACUGGAGGACCGAACCGACUAAUGUUGAAAAAUUAGCGGAUGACUUGUGGCUGGGGGUGAAAGGCCAAUCAAACCGGGAGAUAGCUGGUUCUCCCCGAAAGCUAUUUAGGUAGCGCCUCGUGAACUCAUCUUCGGGGGUAGAGCACUGUUUCGGCUAGGGGGUCAUCCCGACUUACCAACCCGAUGCAAACUACGAAUACCGAAGAAUGUUAUCACGGGAGACACACGGCGGGUGCUAACGUCCGUCGUGAAGAGGGAAACAACCCAGACCGCCAGCUAAGGUCCCAAAGUCAUGGUUAAGUGGGAAACGAUGUGGGAAGGCACAGACAGCCAGGAUGUUGGCUUAGAAGCAGCCAUCAUUUAAAGAAAGCGUAAUAGCUCACUGGUCGAGUCGGCCUGCGCGGAAGAUGUAACGGGGCUAAACCAUGCACCGAAGCUGCGGCAGCGACACUAUGUGUUGUUGGGUAGGGGAGCGUUCUGUAAGCCUGCGAAGGUGUGCUGUGAGGCAUGCUGGAGGUAUCAGAAGUGCGAAUGCUGACAUAAGUAACGAUAAAGCGGGUGAAAAGCCCGCUCGCCGGAAGACCAAGGGUUCCUGUCCAACGUUAAUCGGGGCAGGGUGAGUCGACCCCUAAGGCGAGGCCGAAAGGCGUAGUCGAUGGGAAACAGGUUAAUAUUCCUGUACUUGGUGUUACUGCGAAGGGGGGACGGAGAAGGCUAUGUUAGCCGGGCGACGGUUGUCCCGGUUUAAGCAUGUAGGCUGAUUAUCCAGGCAAAUCCGGAUAAUCAAGGCUGAGGUGUGAUGACGAGGCACUACGGUGCUGAAGUAACAAAUGCCCUGCUUCCAGGAAAAGCCUCUAAGCAUCAGGUAACAUCAAAUCGUACCCCAAACCGACACAGGUGGUCAGGUAGAGAAUACCAAGGCGCUUGAGAGAACUCGGGUGAAGGAACUAGGCAAAAUGGUGCCGUAACUUCGGGAGAAGGCACGCUGGUGUGUAGGUGAAGUCCCUGCGGAUGGAGCUGAGACCAGUCGAAGAUACCAGCUGGCUGCAACUGUUUAUUAAAAACACAGCACUGUGCAAACACGAAAGUGGACGUAUACGGUGUGACGCCUGCCCGGUGCCGGAAGGUUAAUUGAUGGGGUUAUCCGUAAGGAGAAGCUCUUGAUCGAAGCCCCGGUAAACGGCGGCCGUAACUAUAACGGUCCUAAGGUAGCGAAAUUCCUUGUCGGGUAAGUUCCGACCUGCACGAAUGGCGUAAUGAUGGCCAGGCUGUCUCCACCCGAGACUCAGUGAAAUUGAACUCGCUGUGAAGAUGCAGUGUACCCGCGGCAAGACGGAAAGACCCCGUGAACCUUUACUAUAGCUUGACACUGAACAUUGAGCCUUGAUGUGUAGGAUAGGUGGGAGGCUUUGAAGCGUGGACGCCAGUCUGCGUGGAGCCAACCUUGAAAUACCACCCUUUAAUGUUUGAUGUUCUAACGUUGGCCCCUGACCGGGGUUGCGGACAGUGUCUGGUGGGUAGUUUGACUGGGGCGGUCUCCUCCCAAAGCGUAACGGAGGAGCACGAAGGUUAGCUAAUCCUGGUCGGACAUCAGGAGGUUAGUGCAAUGGCAUAAGCUAGCUUGACUGCGAGCGUGACGGCGCGAGCAGGUGCGAAAGCAGGUCAUAGUGAUCCGGUGGUUCUGAAUGGAAGGGCCAUCGCUCAACGGAUAAAAGGUACUCCGGGGAUAACAGGCUGAUACCGCCCAAGAGUUCAUAUCGACGGCGGUGUUUGGCACCUCGAUGUCGGCUCAUCACAUCCUGGGGCUGAAGUAGGUCCCAAGGGUAUGGCUGUUCGCCAUUUAAAGUGGUACGCGAGCUGGGUUUAGAACGUCGUGAGACAGUUCGGUCCCUAUCUGCCGUGGGCGCUGGAGAAUUGAGGGGGGCUGCUCCUAGUACGAGAGGACCGGAGUGGACGCAUCACUGGUGUUCGGGUUGUCAUGCCAAUGGCACUGCCCGGUAGCUAAAUGCGGAAGAGAUAAGUGCUGAAAGCAUCUAAGCACGAAACUUGCCCCGAGAUGAGUUCUCCCUGAGACU
rnacentral:rRNA from 1 species